CCUACGGGAGGCAGCAGUAGGGAAUAUUGCUCAAUGGGGGAAACCCUGAUGCAGCAACGCCGCGUGGAGGAUGAAGGUUUUCGGAGUGUAAAAUCCUUUUGUUAGAGAAGAAAAUGACGGUAUCUAACGAAUAAGCACCGGAUAACUCCGUGCCAGCAGCCGCGGUAAUACGAAGGGUGAAAGCGUUACUCGGAAUCACUGGGCGUAAAGAGCGCGUAGGCGGGAUAGUAAGUCAGAUGUGAAAUCCUAUGGCUUAACCAUAGAACUGCAUUUGAAACUGUUAGUCUAGAGUGUGGGAGAGGUAAGUGGAAUUCUUGGUGUAGCGGUAAAAUCCGUAGAGAUCAAGAGGAAUACUCGUGGCGAAGGCGACCUGCUAGAACAUAACUGACGCUGAUGCGCGAAAGCGUGGGUAGCAAACAGGAUUAGAUACCCGAGUAGUC
rnacentral:rRNA from 1 species